UGCCAGCAGCCGCGGUAAUACGGAGGGAGCUAGCGUUAAUCGGAAUCACUGGGCGUAAAGCGCGCGUAGGCGGCUAUUUAAGUCAGAUGUGAAAGUCCACGGCUCAACCGUGGAAGUGCAUUUGAAACUGGAUGGCUUGAGUACUGGAGGGGGUGGUGGAAUUCCCGGUGUAGAGGUGAAAUUCGUAGAUAUCGGGAGGAAUACCGGUGGCGAAGGCGACCACCUGGCCAGAUACUGACGCUGAGGUGCGAAAGUGUGGGGAGCAAACAGGAUUAGAUA
rnacentral:rRNA from 1 species